AAUAGAAGAAAAAUUUGAAAGGAUUUCUUUUUGGCCGCCGUCGUCCCCAAUCAUCCGCUCCCUCGUUUUCCCAGCGCCAACCUCGCCAGCCCUUUCCCCACCGUCCUCUUCAGCUCCCUAACCUCACUCAACUUUUCUUCGAAAACUCCAUCUUCCCUCAUGAGUUUAUUCAGUAUAAUGGAUUUGUGAAAUUGAAUGCAAAAAUAAUCGGGAAAAUUAGGUGACGGACGAGGGCUGAAGCUGAGGGUCUGUAGCUGCGUCGCGCUAGAGCCGUCUUCGCCGCCUGAAUCGACUCGUUCUCAGAACCCGCAUCGCUGCCACUAGGUUCGCCUGAUCAGAACCGAUGACCCGCUGCUUCCCAAGAACCGCUAGCACCACUGUUUUGCACCUGAAUCUGAUCUGCACCGUUUGCCUGACCUAACCACUGCUGCUUUAUCCUGAAUCGAGAUCUCAUGGUUUCGAACUGUUGCCGCCUUGACCACUGCACGAACCCAAAACCAGAAAGCACCAAAUCCAUUGACGUUGCCCCCACAUCGUACCAGACCCGAUUGCCUUGAACCCCUGUGGACGAUAGGGACGAAGGCUGCAAAAAAAAUCCUUAAUUUCUUCAAUUUUCAUUUUUAAGAUUUCAAUUUUGUUUUCAAUUUUUUCCAAAUUCUAUUUUAUUAUUUAAAAGUGAGUUGGCUCCACGCUGCCGCAUCAUCAUUUAAUAAUUAAAUUGAUAGAGAAAUUAACGGAAGUCCGACAUUACAAGAAAUUCAUAAAUUAAUAUAUAACAUUGCAAUGUUUAAAAGAUGAGGUAUGAAAUUAUUAUGUGAUCCAAAAUUAAAGUGGUAAAAUGUAAUUUACCUUUUAUUUUCUCAUUUUGGUACAAGGAUUUUGGGAAGAGGAAUUUAUGCUAAACCACACAAUGAGCUAUACAUUAAAUUGUCAUCAAUCCAUCCAAAAGAGUAUGAUAAGAUUGAGAGUAAAGAUGAAUACCAGUAGUCUGCAAUGAUAUAGAAGUGGCAAUUGCUAGCAACUUCUUUGGAAGAAGAUUCUAGGUAUAUGGGCGUAGACAUUGAGGCCUAAUUUUUCACAUGUGAACCGCCAACAGGAUACAAACUUAUGUAGCCCUUGCCUAAAUGCCUAUGUGCUUCAUCAUUCCAUUAUGAGCUGAUUUGGUAUUGCUAUGCUUUGAAAAAAAACUGUUUCUGCUGUAAUAUAAGAAUAAGCUCAUUUUUGCUGCUUCACGUUUUCAAUUUUUUUUCACCCAAAACUGUAAAAAUAAGCAAUUUUUAAAUAUUUACCAUACACAUUUUUAAGCUCAACUUUUUUCAAUACCCACUUUUUAUAAAAGCAUCUCAAUACCAAUACCA
rnacentral:lncRNA from 1 species